rnacentral:rRNA from 1 species
GGACUACCGGGGUAUCUAAUCCUGUUUGCUACCCACGCUUUCGUGUCUCAGCGUCAGAAAUGGUCCAGUAAGCUGUCUACACCACAGGUGUUCCUCCUGAUAUCUACGCAUUUCACCGCUACACCAGGAAUUCCGCUUACCUCUCCCAUCCUCUAGCAUUCCAGUUUCUAAUGCACCCUCCCAGUUAAGCCGGGAGAUUUCACACCAGACUUGGAGCACCGCCUACACACUCUUUACGCCCAGUAAUUCCGAACAACGCUUGCUGCCUACGUAUUACCGCGGCGGCUGGCAC